ACAAAGAAAGCCUUUGAUUUUUGUAAAGGGAGAGAUGCUUUGGUCAUGCUCUUCUGCAUAUCUCUCUUGAGAGGGUUUUAUAGAUGUUUUCUUCCAUUACACCAAAGGUAUACUGAUCCACUUAAUUUACAGUGCCAAAAAUGAUGAUUCUUCUCUUUACCAUUCCUGAAUGUCCUCAAAGGACGCAGACAUGAAGAGGGAACUUUUUUGAACAUUCCUGCCAUGCAAUGACCAGGUAACCUGGCCCCAUCUCAAGCAGAGACCUGCCUGUAUUCCUGAGACCUUGAUGAUGUUGUGCUAAGCUGUGUGUGUCUGGUACAGAACCUCUGGUGCUCAGAGACUGUGUGCUUAUUUUGCAGCCACUUGGCUACCAUGCAGGAGCUACAGGAGAUGCAUUGGAGAAUUACCAUUAUUUUCAUUUCAUAUUUGGAGAAUCACAAAUUAUUUUCAUUUCAUUUUCCUGUCUGCAGUCACAGGGUAAAAGAGCUCUGUAAAGAAGAGAGCACAGGGAACAGAAGAGUUGGGAAGAAAAGAGAAGAUACAAGUUCCUGUGCUGAAAGACCUAAUUAUGCUGGACCAAGCACAAAAUCUAUUAUGGGGUUAUUAAUUGCUUGCACCAUUUAUGUACUCACACAUUUCACCUGCUCUUUCCUGUGGGAGUCAAACACCAGUAAUGUUUUCCAUCCCGAACUGGAUGUGAUGCCAAACUACCAGGAAUUUGCAAGGAGCAAGACUGAGCUGUGUUAAGCCAAUGACUUAAAAAGAAAAAAGCCACACAGGAAAACCAGAUUAUGAGAUUUGCCACCAUUCGAUUUAAAAGUCAUCCUUUCCUGUUGUUCCUUGAGCACUGGGCUUUCCAAGUUCACCAUUCUUUCCUGGGACAAGUGACUCAUGAACCUGAUAGGAAAAUGCACCUGUUUUUAGCCAGAGGUUAAAGCAGCUCUCCAGUUACCAGAGUAAACAAAGGAUUUAUUUCUGUCCUUAGCAGUUACCCUGCAAAGCCCAGGAAUACAGGAAGGCUGGCAGAAGCCACUAGGUUUGAGCCAAGUUUGCUGAAGUCAGUGGAAGGUUUGUGAUGUCCAUAGUAAGAUGCUCCUAGAUGCCAGUGGGAUUUGGCCCAUGUCUUUUGCUAGAGGGGAAAUGGAAAAAUAAAGAGUUGGUGCAGUGAUUGUGCUGGCAGCCAAGGACUCCAGGGAGCUGGAAGGUGUCUGC